rnacentral:rRNA from 1 species
CAGCAGCCGCGGUAAUACGAAGGGGGCUAGCGUUGCUCGGAAUCACUGGGCGUAAAGCGCACGUAGGUGGAUCUUUAAGUCAGGGGUGAAAUCCUGGAGCUCAACUCCAGAACUGCCUUUGAUACUGGAGAUCUUCGAGUCCGGGAGAGGUGGGUGGAACUGCGAGUGUAGAGGUGAAAUUCGUAGAUAUUCGCAAGAACACCAGUGGCGAAGGCGGCUCACUGGCCCGGUACUGACGCUGAGGUGCGAAAGCGCGGGGAGCAAACAGGAUUAGAUACCCUGGUAGUCCACGCCGUAAACUAUGAGAGCUAGCCGUUGGGGGGUUUACCCUUCAGUGGCGCAGCUAACGCAUUAAGCUCUCCGCCUGGGGAGUACGGUCGCAAGAUUAAAACUCAAAGGAAUUGACGG